rnacentral:lncRNA from 1 species
AUGAUAGAAAUUCAUAAGGCAACGAAUACUGAGAAUGAUGGAAGGUGGAGCAGGAAAACUUUGUCACAUGUCAGUUCCUUAAACCUGUGGCCCACUGAGUUGAGAAUAACAUCAGGCCCUUUUAACACCAGAGCUGGGAACACGUCAUACAGGAUUGUAUCCUUUUCUUACCUAAUUUUAUACAUUAACAGGAAAGCAGUCUCAUCUGUGAUGCUGGGGUCACCCUACAACCGUACAGCAGAAGCCCCUGCCACCUUCAUCCUGGUGGGUAUCCCAGGUUGGCAGUCCUCACAUCUUUGGCUGGCUCUCUCACUGAGCACCAUGUAUAUCACAGCCCUGUUAGGAAACACCCUCAUAGUGACCGUCAUCUGGGUGGAUUCCACUCUACAGGAGCCCAUGUACUGCUUCCUGUGUGUUCUGGCUGCCGUGGACAUGGUUAUGGCCUCCUCGGUGGUGCCCAAGAUGGUGAGCAUCUUCUCCUCAGGAGACAACGCCAUCAGCUUUAAUGCUUGUUUCACUCAGAUGUAUUUUGUCCAUGCAGCCACAGCUGUGGAGACGGGGCUGCUGCUGGCCAUGGCUUUUGACCGCUAUGUGGCCAUCUGUAAGCCCCUACACUAUAAGAGAAUUCUCACACCUCAGGUGAUACUGGGAAUGAGUGUGACCAUCAUCAUCAGAGCUAUUAUGUCGAUGACUCCACUGAGCUGGAUGGUGAGUCAUCUGCCCUUCUGUGGCUCCAACGUGGUUCUCCAUUCCUACUGUGAGCACAUGGCUGUGGCCAAGUUGGCUUGUGCUGACCCCAGGCCCAGUAGUCUUUAUAGCCUGAUUGUUUCCUCCAUUAUUGUGGGUUCUGAUGUGGCCUUUAUUGCUGCCUCCUAUAUCCUGAUUCUCCAGACAGUAUUCAGUUUGUCCUCAAAGAAUGCUCAGUUAAAAGCAUUAGGUACAUGUGGCUCCCAUGUAGGUGUUAUGGCUCUGUACUACCUGCCUGGGAUGGCAUCCAUCUAUGUGGCCUGGCUGGGGGAGGGCAUAGUGCCUUUGUGUACCCAAGUGCUAUUAGCUGACUUCUAUCUGAUCAUCCCACCAUCUUUGAACCCCAUCAUCUAUGGCCUAAGGAUGAAGCAAAUACGGAAGCGAACCUGGGGCCUGCUGAUUCACUGCCUCUUUAACCACUCCAACUUGGGUUCAGGAACUCAGGCCCUUGAGCAAACCAGACAACUUCAAAGAUGCCCUAGCUAA